rnacentral:rRNA from 1 species
AAAAAGCGGAGGAAAAGAAACCAACAGGGUAUUGCCUUAGUAGCGGCGAGUGAAGCGGCAAGAGCUCAAAUUUGAAAUCUGGUACCUUUGGUGCCCGAGUUGUAAUUUGAAGAAAGCUAUCUUGGAUUUGGCCUUUGUCUAUGUUCCUUGGAACGGGACGUCAUAGAGGGUGAGAAUCCCGUCUGAUGGGGUGUCCAUUUCUAUGUAAGAUGCUUUCGAAGAGUCGAGUUGUUUGGGAAUGCAGCUCUAAGUGGGUGGUAAAUUCCAUCUAAAGCUAAAUAUUGGCGAGAGACCGAUAGCGAACAAGUACUGUGAAGGAAAGAUGAAAAGAACUUUGAAAAGAGAGUGAAAAAGUACGUGAAAUUGUUGAAAGGGAAGGGUAUUUGAUCAGACUUGGUAUUUAGUUAUCGUUCGCUUUUGUGGGCGCUCUAACUUUUUACUGGGCCAGCAUCAGUUUUGGUGGCAAGAUAAUGACAGUUGAAUGUGGCUCCUCGGAGUGUUAUAGCUUCUGUUGAUAUUGCCUAUCGGGACUGAGGUCUGCGGCUUUGCCUAGGAUGCUGGCGUAAUGAUCCAAUACCGCCCGUCUUGACCCCCCGGAACCA